rnacentral:lncRNA from 1 species
UGCAAUCAAGGGAGAAAAUUCAAGAUAAUAGGCUGCGUGUUCGUACAUCUUGUAUUCAUGUAAGUGUGUGCAUAUAUUUUAUACUUCAUGUAACAAUUGUGUACUGCAGGUACGCUAAAAAACCUAAUUAUCCAACUCGACGGUCAGGACAAACACAAACGCAAUCUGCGAGAUGGUUCUUUCAUAUCUUAUAAAGGAUGUCAAUUUGAUCUACCUCACAUGCCAUGUAGGACAGUAGUUAGUAGAUACAUAUUGCGUAGGACAUUUGACAUUGUCUUAGACUGUCUGCUUGACGGUGAAAGUGUAUGUCAAUACAAUGCAGAUUAGUUGCAGAUAGAGGUAGAAGAUCAUUCCGCUAACAACGUCGGGGAUGUCGAUGUCAUCGAAGAAAUCAUAGUAGAGACAUCAGCAUGGAUGUCGUCGUCGAGGUCGGCAAUAUUAACGUAGAGCUUGUUGUGCUGAUAACGUGUUAUAAAACGUGUCAUGAGCGGUUAGGACAUUUUCCUCUCCAUCUCUCAUAAUCAACACAUUAGAUAAAAAUAGUUGAACAAGUAUACACAAGAUAAGGAAACUAUUCGUUAUUCCUUUGAAUAGUUUGGUGAUUUCAACAUAGAGCUCUACGUAUAUAGUCCUGUCAAGACCUAAGAGUUUUGGUAAAAGCCCACAUAUAAACGGAAAAAAAAUUAAGAUUCCUCCUUCUCCUUUCCUUCUAAGAUAGAGUCCAUAUAUUUUACAACAUGUGUUUCCAAAGUAAAUAAGUACUCUACAAACAUUCUGCUGCAGACACACAAAAAAGAAUAGGUAUAGGUUCGUUGCUGAGUAAACACUUUUUUGUCCAUCUUAUUUCCAUCAAACAAAAAAAAACAAACAAUUCAAUAGUGUGUACAUAUUAUAGAAUAAAAUACAUAU